rnacentral:rRNA from 1 species
CCCUUAGAUGUUCUGGGCCGCACGCGCGCUACACUGACGCAUUCAACGAGUCUCCUUGGCCGAGAGGCCUGGGUAAUCUUGUGAACGUGCGUCGUGAUAGGGAUAGAUUAUUGCAAUUAUUAAUCUUGAACGAGGAAUUCCUAGUAAACGCAGAUCAUCAAUCUGCAUUGAUUACGUCCCUGCCCUUUGUACACACCGCCCGUCGCACCUACCGAUUGGAUGGUCCGGUGAGGCCUCGGGAUUGUGGCCGGUGCAUUCAUUUGCGUCGGUUGCGAGAACUUGUCCAAACCUUAUCAUCUAGAGGAAGGUGAAGUCGUAACA